rnacentral:tRNA from 1 species
UUAUGAGAAGUGUUAUGCACUAAGAGCUUUGAUUUCUUAAGAGGAAGCUAAUACUUCCCUUAUAAA